CAAAACGUGUUCAUACCUCUGAUCAAAAUUUUCAGUUUUAUCAGCCUUGAUGUACAUGAUAUAGAUAUCAUGAUAACUAAUUCCACAUUCUGUGAAGAACACUCCCAUGUAAUCUAACCCGGUGUGAGUACAUGUUAUUGCCAAUUUUCAAUCAACACUACAUUUACAACAUUGGGAGCAAAUAAAACCUAAUCUAUGACUUCGAAAUCUGCCAAACAGAUCCUAAAUUCGAAAUCCAUACACCAAUUAGAAGGCAACUUCAACAAACACAAAUCACAGAAAAUCAAUACCUGGAGAGAGCGUUGAUGGAAUGCGGAACGACGCCGUUUUGCACCUGAACAUGCAGAAGAGUGAAGUGAGAAAAAGGCUGUGAUGAUAGUGACUCUCAGGUCUGAUCGACGGUGUCUGGAAAACGGGUCCAGAUUUAUCCCGUUUGGAAGAGGCUCACCAAACGACGUCGUAUUAUGGAAUCACCCCACCCGCCAAACCAGGCUGGAACACAAAGCCCAAACAUGGAUUGGGCAGUCUAGCUUUCUGGGCCUCAGCUUCUGUACAGUAGGCCCCUUUUGGGUCCGACCUUCUUGAAACCCACAAGAAAAAGGCAAAAAGCCAUGUCGCUUUUGAUUGAUUCAUAUUUCUCCUCCCAAAAAGACACCCACGAUCUACGAAAACACACAUUUGAUAACAAAUGGGGUUCCAUGUCCCAUUAACAAACCCUACAGCCUGUCAACACGGGUCUCCAAGGCCCACAUGCCCUUCCAUCACCAAGCCCUCUAGUCAAUAAUUAAGUCCACGCAUCCUACGACAGUUAGGUGCGACCCACUUGACUCUCUCACAUAGAUGGGCAAAAUAAUUAUAAUAAUCACAGAACUCUACAACCCAAAUGCCUAAAUCCUCUUCCAAUCCUUGAAAUUUAGCGUAGUUCUUAAAAAUAAAUUGAACAAAAUCUGCGUAUGAGAGAAGAGACAAACAUACAUGGAAGAGGAGGCGGCCCCAUCUAUCACUCUCAUUUUGUAAGCAUAGAAGAUAGACAAAAACUUGAUUGGUACCCCUCAAAAUGCCCAUGUGGAUUCAAGCCUUUCCCAUGUGCUCACAAAAGCAUACACAAUACCUUUAUAUUUAUACAUUAGUUUAUCUCCAACUAUAAGUCUAUAACAAAUGUAUUACAUCUUAUAUAAGGGAAAAUCCUCUUAAUAACACCUUGUUUAUUGGAAUCUCUAGUAAGGGUUACAAAAAGCUAUAUUUGCAGAGGGGGGAAAAAAGGGGAGAGUGACAUAUUUGAGAUGAUGAAAGGAGUUAAUAAAGUUGCGGAGAAAAAACACUUAUUAGAUAUACAGUAAAAACAAUAGAGCAUUCAAGAAUUCCAGAUUCCACUGAGCAUGGUUCGGAGUCUGUUUGUGGACAACUUCUUAACGAUUCUUUUUGCGUCUGAAACAUCUGCUUCUGCGAGCUUCUCUAUGUUUUUCAUGUACCCAGAAUUUACAAUCUUCUUUCUUCCACUGUUGCAACUGGUUAAGGACAUCAGUAUGGAGAGUAAGAACUUUCUGUUACCUGAAUUCCCCUCUUCUGACUCCAACAACUGUAGAAGCAUGCCAAUGUUGCCAUCCUCCUGUACUAGUUUCCGGCGAUUUCUCGAGACUAACACCAUACUUGAAAGUGCCUCCGCUGCCAUUUCUCGGAUUUCAAAUGAUUUGGCGUGGAGCAGUCGGAUGAGCUCCGGAAUGAACCCUGCAUCACCCAUUGAUUUCUUGGCCUCCUCCGAUGAUCCGCAUAAGCGAAAUGAAACUUUUAAGGCCAAUUCUUGAACCAAGACCUCGCCGUUUCGGAGAAAGAAAAGAAGUUGAUCCAUGAACCCAUGACUCAGCAAAAUGUUAAUGGUACCUAAUGAAGAGAAACAUAGGGUUUCUAUGGCUCUCAAGGCUCGCUCUCUGGUUUUGGAUGAGAAUGAGGAAUUGGGGUCUAAUAUGCGUACAAGCACACGAAUUCCACCUUCUCUGAUCACCAUUUGUCGAAUUGAUUCAUCUCCAUAGACUAUACUUUGAAGGAAUUCUAUGGAAUUUAUCUGGACUGACUCAUCCUUAGAUCGAGCAAGUUUGAGGAAUGCUGUGAUAGCUCCUUCUUCAACCAUAAACCUCUUUAUCUCUUCAACUCCAGCAAGAUUUUUCAGAACCCCACAAGCCAAACCGACCAAUUCUCCUUUAUAAUUACCACUACUACAAAUUUUCAGUAGUGCCGUGACUCCACCGUGAGCAGAAAUAGACCAAACAUUGUCUGAAUUCUCCGUCAACUUCUGCAAACACCUCGCCGCUCCCUCCUUCCCCAACUCGCUUCCACACUCCAGAACCCGAAUCAAAGGCGCAAUAACCCCGGCGCCGAUCAAAGCACUCUUGUACAUAUCGAACCCGGCAAUCACCGAAAUCGCCUUAGCGGACUCUUCCUGAAUCUCCAUCUCCAGCGAGUCAAGAAAAGUUGCCAAGAGACUUAUGAUAUCGCCAAUUUCCACCACUAUCUUCACGUACUUGUCGUCCUCAUUCACCACCUCGUUGAAAGCCACCAAGGCUUGUCUCUUCAUUUCUGUAUCGCCAAUCUUCAUUCUGGUUUGCAAAUCUCUCACAUAGAAUCUCAUGUCAUCGCGACACGCUCCCAAACCUGGCCGCGAUACCACGAUUGCGAACUGCUGAGUUAAAAUUCCAGCUUGGUAGAUUGCGGAUAGAUUCCUUAUGUGAGCAUCGAACUUCGCUAAUAGUACGUCGAGGUCGCUUUGCAUGAGGAGCUUUCCACUGUAAGAAAGGUCGACACAUCGACGAGCGUGAUCGUAGCAUUCAUUCACUGUAUCAAUUAUCGCCCAAAUAACGGUGGAAAGAACUGGAUUCUCUCCGGAAUCGCAGUUCUCCGCCGCGGUUAGCCCGGAAUUCAGCUCGUCCAGCUUGUUUCGGAUCGUUUGCCAUUUCACCGCAAACACUUUGAUGGAAUGAGAAAGAGAAAUCAACGAACAUAUGAGCUCGAUUGCUUCCCCGAGACUGGGUUUUCCGGCGUACGACUCCGGCGAGCUUUGCUCUUCUUGCCUUUCUCUGCGUCUCUUCUCUUCACCCAUCCCUGUCUUCACUGAUUCGAGAGCAAACCCAUCUUCCGAUGUAGAGGGUCAGAGCUCCGAUGAGUAUAGAUCAAGAUUCCGGAAUCACCGGAGUUUUGAAGACAGAGGAAUCAAGGCGAUGAAAGAGGCUCUGUUCUCUCUGUCCAUACUUAUCCUCUGUAUACUGAUGAAGCCCAAUUGGCCCUUGGGCUCGAAUUUACGAAAUUGUCGUCCUGGGUUGUGUAAAUAUUUCAAGGUCGGUCUCCAUACAGUAGGGGUAUCCCUGUCAUAUUGGAAGUAAAUUGGUAGCCUAGUCUGGUGGAAGUUUAUUGCACAUUUAAGGAAAAGGCCCAAAAAAAAAAAAAAAAAAGGGAAAAUAGGAUGGGGCAAAAAGGCUUUUUACGAGAGACAAAAUGAGUUGGAAAUUUAACUCUUCUGAAAAUUGCAUAUGAAUGAAUUAAAAUUUUGCUAUUUUAAAUAUAUGAGAAAAAUAAAAUAAAAUCAUUUACUGUCAUAUAAAGUUUUUAUGAUAUGAAAAUAACUAAUUUCCUUAAUUUAAUUUAUUUUGUAACGCAAAUGUAAAAUUAGGAACAUUCAGAUUUAGAGUGGAUAUUUGUUUGGAGAAGUAAAUUAGAAGAUAUGCCGAGCACAGUUGAACAUGUUCUGCUUUUAUUUGAUUUGAUCGGUGAUGGGGCAUUGUCAAGAGAUCUUUGGAAUUUAUAACCUUCAAUCCUUUUUACUUUUCAGAAAAAUGUUUUCAGGGGAAUAGGGAAAUUAAUUGAGGCAACAUUUGAUGGGAACAGAGUGAGAGCAGAGGCUGGAGUAUGCUAAGCGAGGAAGAAGGCGGCCAAGAAAGAGAAAAGGAUGUGUGAUUAACACCAAGGGAAAGGACAUAAACCCAUAUGGACCACUCUCAAAAUAAGGACACUGGUCUUGAUUAGGUGAAAAGAAAAAGCAAAAAGAGUAGCUUUCACUACCCUCUUAGCAUGGAGAUGACACAGUCCCCACCCACAACCCCCCAUGUGAACCCCUCUCUUAAAUGCCUUGAGCAAGGGGUCACUUUUUGAAUAUGAAAUGAGAGUAAAUCUACACACAAAGAUUGAGAGAAAGUUGGACUCUUUUCUAGCCUUUUCUCUCAAGUACCCAAAAGCUGUCAUCUCCAAAGGAGAGCACAAAAUGUAUUCACCCAUCUUACAAAACAAAAUUCAGAUCAUGGGGAUAAGCUUAAGCUUCAUAGGAAUCUAACGGUAGUAUUGCUUGUGACAAAAGUGGCAUAGCGUCUUAGAUGACAAAAAUAUUCAUUAUUUUGCUCGUCACGGACCAUUAUUUUAUGUAAUCUUGUUGUCAUGAGUAUGCUUUAUCCCUAGUCUUAAGGAUGAUCUUGUUUUUAAUUAUGUGGAAAGCAAUUCGACUUUCCCUUUUUUUUUCUUUUUCUUUUUUGUUCAAAUUUUCUUUUUUAAGUGAUGGAAGUCGGCGCGCAUCAUAAUAAUUUGAUUACCAAACAUUAAUAUUUAUCAAACUUGAGUGGCUUAAUGCCUUAUAAUUCUGACCAAAUUGUAAGAUAAUUGUGUGAUCAUGACCGUUGCUCAUGAGUUGUUUUAUUUGAAUGAUACUGCAGGUUAGAAGGGUGGAAAAGGGGCAUGAGAAAAAUCUCAUAAAAAGGAUUAAUGUUGUGAGCAAAAGAUACUGAAAUGUUUUCUGUGCUUGUUAAAUGCUUUGUAGAAUGUUAGGUGCCAAGGCACCAUUGUAUGAAAAGCCAAGAAAGUGAUGGUGUAGGGCACCCUUUGAGUAGGGAACAAGGGAAAUCCAAGGCAUAAGCAUAGCUACGAACUGCCUUUGCUUUGAAGAGAAAGGUACAUGUAACAAUAUUUCAUGCCCAUCUACCCAAAAAAAAAUGAAGAAGAUGGUGAAUGACAUGGAAAUAAAAGGAUAAAACGAUGACUUGAUGAAAAGAUAGAAGUUUGGUGCCAUCCAUCCUAAAGAGGAAACCGAAAAAUAUAUGUUCUCAACAAUUUUGUACUAUUUAGAGACAAAAGCUUAAUUGAAGUUUCAUCCAAUUACCUUUUGUAUGCCACACAUUGAAGGUACAUACAAUGUAAAAGGCUAAAAGCCAUAACCUCAAGAGUACCUAAUCAAGGGGAAAAGACCCUUUUUCAUAUGCUUGAAUACAGCUUAAGCUAUCUACAAUUUAAUACUUACUAGAAAGAUAUCAAAUCAGCCAGUUGCAGCCUUGUUGUGAUUCAUUUAAGGAUGCUUACUAGUACUGAUAAUGACUCUCCCAAAAUGAUGGUCCUAAUCUCCUUUUUGGGACUACCCCUCACCCCUUACCCCGUCACCAUUUUGACUAAGCCUCAUGAUCAGGAUUAGUAUGGGGGUGGAGCCAUCACAGUAAAGUGUGGUGGUUCGCCACUUUCGGGGGCCAUUCAAUUGGAUUAGGUCCAUGAAUGGAAAAUCGUCUUCAAUGACAAUAAGAAUGAAAUGUUUGCCUCAAAGUUUGCUUGUUCACUGCAACAUUUUUUGUAUUUUGAGAUAGGGAUCAGGUAUAUAUGACUGUCAAAAAAUGGAAAGCUUUGGGCAUAUGUGUAGAUCAUUAAUGCCCUUCCCACUAUCCUGGCAAAUGAUUAUGGUAAAAUUUAUGGUGCUGGCUAAGUUGUUCCUCUUACACUGAAAGGGAAUGAUGUGUGCUUUAAUUUAGAGGUCAUGCAUAUAUGGGGCCUGCACUGUGCUCACAGCUUGAUACACGGUUAGUAUUUGCUUGAUACUUGAAUGAGACAGCCCACCAAAAUUUUGCUUAGGUAUACUAUAUGGCUACAUGAUGAUCAAAAUCUCACCCUCUAACCGACCAAAAACCAAAAGAAAAAAAAUGAAGAAAUUAUAAAAUCAAAACUUAUAGAAAAGACCUUUCACCAAACAAUACCUUCAAGCUAUUAUAAAUGUCAUAGGGGUUUAGGACAAAUCCUGUGAAGCUAAUCACGGUCAAAAGCCCCUUUCCAAAAUCCUACUUACCGCCUCAAAAUUCAAGUAAUUGGACCGACAAAUGUGAUUAAGACUUUCAAAUUAUGGGAGAGUUUACCAUUGACUGUUGACUCACUGAUUAAUAAUCUUGAGUAAUGACACAUGAAGAUGGAGUAGAUGAACAUUCAGACUUGGUGGGGUUUCAAAGUUGGUGUGGCAAAAACCAUUGUGGAAACAGAGUUUGUUCUCAUUAGGAGGGACGCAUCCUGGUGGGGCUUAGCACAUGGGUACCACACGAGGCACGUGAGCGGGGCCAAAUGUGAAUUUGUGGCCAUUGAUGGGAAGCGUUGUGAAUAAAAAUGAUGGAGGGUAAAAUCUCUCUCUCUCUCUCUCUCUCUCUCUCUCCUGUGUAUAUGUAGCUGAGUUUAGUGGACGUUGUUAACUACUCACUACACUUUUGCUUGCGCUUUGCGCCUCUCAGAUUAUGUUUUGAGUGGGGGCUCACCCUGAGCUAUUCCAUGGAAAAAUGCUUUCAUCACCGGCAAAUCUUGAGAAAUCAUUCAUUAGUCUUUACUUUCAAUCUAGUUCAUUUUCACUUUUGUUAGCAAACCCCGUGCAUGAUGUUUACUUUGCAAAUUCCAUGAUGACCUCCCAAACCUAGCCUAGAGGCUAGAUGUGGGGUUAACUAAAGAAUGGAUCAAGAUUCCUAUAGGCCGAGUCGGAAGGCUCAAUAUUGGGCUUAUUUUUCAGCCAAUUGUUGCACUAUUUGAGUUAUAUUGGCUUUGAUGGAUUAAUUUAUGAGGUCGAGGGCAGGUUCAUUGAGGUAUAAACUUGAUACCCCAGCUGUCAGGUUGUUUAGGCUGGAUGCAGCAUCUUUGAAUGUUCAGAUUGUCUUGUUUAAACAGUGUAAAGGGGUAAAUAUUUUAGGUGUAAUAAUGUCACUUUUUAAGGGCUAUUAAACCAUAUCUAUUCGGUGAUAUCAAAUGUCAUAAAAGAUUUGACCUAUCUUAUCGAAAAGAAAUUGAUUUUUAGAUGAGAUGAUAAAAACUUAAUCCAAUAAUUGAUAUCAGAAGUAAGGGUUAAUGGUUCAUGUGAUGUUGAAUGUAUGUUUAACAACAUUUUUCUUUUUUUUUUACUAAACAUAGGUGGAGCGGCUUGCAUGAUGUGAUGUGGAAUGUAUGUUCAAUAACUUUUUAUUUUUUUACUCAAAAUAGGUUAAGUGUUUUUAAAAAAUAUUUUGUAAUUUAAAAAUUAUCUUUUAAAAAAAAAUCAAAUGUUACAACAAAAUUUAGGAUACACUUUUAAAAUUUUAAAAAAUCACUUAUAGUAUUAAAAAAUCAUCUAGUGUUUUAUAAAAAAAUAUUUUGAUAAAUGAUUAUCUUAAAAACGUUUAGAGAAAAUACUUUUAUUAAAAACACUUCUAAUAAAAAUAAUAUCAAACAUACUCUAAAUUAACUAAUUUAAACAUCACUUUAUUCACUUUAAACACUUCAUAUUCAUACCUUUUACACUAGGUUUUAGAAACUCGAGAUUAUCAUCAAUUCUAACUUGUAAGCUCAUUCAAGCAAAGUCUUAUUGAGUAAGUUCGGAUGAAUAAUGAUAUUAAAAUGCAUUUAUUGGUAUCUAUUAUCUUCUGUAAAUUUUACGGGCCAAAAAAUUGGAAUUUGAAUAAGAGUAGGAAUGGCAACAAUACGAGUUCAAAAUAUAUCCCCCUUUUCCCGACCACGACCACACCUCUAUAUCACAUAAAAAUUCCCAUCCUCAAGUGAACCCCAUGGCGUAGAUGAGGAAGGCAACUAAAUGAAUUUGAAAAAAAGCACCCACCCCAUCCCUCUCCGAAUCUUUGUUCUCAAUACUUUUUAAUCUUCAAUUUAAUUUAAUAACUUUAUUGGUUUUCUGCUUUUGUUUUUCUGAUCAACUUUUAAUUAGGGUUUUUUUUCUUUCUUUUUAAAAUUGGUUAAGAGAACUUCAAGACCUAACGUCAUUAGUCUUCAUCAUCAAUGAAAAAGUGAAAAAUGAAAAAUAAAAAUAAAAUAAACGAUGACCCAUGAACUAUUCCAAUGUCCAUGCCCUUCAAUUCUAAUUUUUCUGUUUUAAAUCCAAGAAGUUGAAGGUUCCUCAAACAACAAGAAACAACAAUAAAACAAAAGUUCAACCAACAAAUUUAAAAGAACAAAAAAAAGGUAAACCAAAACCCAAGAAAAAAUGUGAAAAAGUAAAACAACCCAUCUCACAAUCCCAUCAAUUCUUUUUCUACAAUUCCCAAAAAUGGAGCUUCAAAGAUCAAUAUUGGAAGUGCACUUCCAAAUAUGGUGAAUCUUCUGGGGUGCAGAAUAAUAACUUGAUGAUAACAUCGCUGGAGAGCAUCAAGAGGAUGCACAUCAUCGGAAAACAUCAAGAGGAUUCACAUUGCUCAAUUUUUAAUAAAAUUUAUGGGUGAUUUUUCACAUACUUCACAUGUUCCCUGUAUGAUUGGAUUUCACUCUCAUAUCCGAUGAUCACACAUUGACUUAAAACAAUUCUGGGAGACAUCUAUUCACCCUUUUUGGGUAGUUUGAGUUCAAGUUAUUUUCUAGAAUAAAUUGAAGAUAUUUUUAGUUAUUAAUAUAUUAAUACAUGGUAUCUUUUUCAAAAAAAAAAAAGGUUUUUAUUAAAAAAACUAUUUUUCACAUGGGAAUUUUCAGAAAAAAAAAAUUAUUUCUAAAAAUAAUUGAGGACUUCAACAAUUAAUCUAAAAAAUUGUUAUUUUUAAACCCUAAAUGCAGACGAGCUCAUUGAACACAUUUGGGUGCCAUGUUCAACUGGAUCAGGCUCGGCCUAGGUUGAGUCUUUUGUGAAGCCAUUUCUUCAGCCCAUGCACAGAUGUCAACUUUUCCUCAACACCCCAAAUGAGGGAGUGGCAAAGCAUUUCAGACACUUGUCAGCAAUGGCCCUUCAAAGACAAAACUCACAACUGGCUGUCAAGGGAUCCUCCACGUAAAAGCUAAAAACUGAGUGAUAGGACUCUCAGACCAUUCACUCGUAUCCUGUGACCUCCAUAAUCUAAAGGAGCAUAAUAGAAAACCGACUUGACAGAGAACAUAUUUUGUGGCCAUGGUAACACCAAAAGAUCAACAUGAAUAGUUGCAACUGGCGAGUGAUCCUCCCAGGCCUCUACCAUAAAAUAUAUGUAUUAUAAAAUAGAGACAAAAGCAGAAGCAAACAGACAACUCAUUGUCCACUUGAGAACAGUUGCCAUGAAAGAUAUGGCACAACCCAAUUCAUACAACCAUAAACAAUAUUCCAUGCGACCAAGUUCAUGUGGACGACACUGGGAAUCCUUCAUUUCCUUUCCAAGUUUUGCACCAGACAGGCUCCCUGACCCGUCAAGAUCGGACUUGACACAGAUCCAUCAUUCAACUGAUUGAAUGGGGCCGGCCAGUUCAUCGGUAUCCACCACCCACCCAGCAUUAUUCCAUUGCAUCAGUUGAUAACCACAGCAUAUGGAUCUAAACAUCUGGACCUGACCCACCUGCAGCCACCCUUUAUUCCCAUUUUGAUAUGAUCCCAGCACCAUCUGUGCCUUCAUCUCCCACCAAAGUCGUAGAACAGCUUUUUCUUCCCCCGCAAAGUUCUUUCUCCUCUGCAAGGCUACCAUUGAUGAGAGUGGCAUGCUUCAAACAAUGCCACAGAGCGCAUUCACCCAUUUGCGAAAGGCUCUCAUCCCUCUGAUGCCAUUUAGUCUACUGAUAUACACGGCCACAUCCUAAAAAGUUUAGAUGUCAAAUCAACGAUAAAACAGAAAUUCACCUUUUUGUCAUAGUGAAUUUGUGUUCGAAGCAGGACUUUAAUAGGACAUGCUGAGCCGGUGGCAACACAUAGUGAGUAGACUUGGGAUUGUUUAGAGACCCAACAUGAAAUGUCUCUUUCAUCUAACUUGUGUAUUGGCAUUCUUGCAACCUUGCAUGGAAUGGUAGAUCCAGAAGUGAGGCAAUUAUGUUCUUGGCU
rnacentral:lncRNA from 1 species